rnacentral:rRNA from 1 species
CAGUAGCCGCGGGAAUGCGUAGGUGGCAAGCGUUGUCCGGAAUUAUUGGGCGUAAAGGGCGCGUAGGUGGUCACGAUAGUCAGAUGUGAAAUUCCUGGGCUUAACCCGGGGACUGCAUUUGAUACUGUGUGGCUUGAGUGUGGAAGAGGGUCAUGGAAUUCCCAGUGUAGAGGCGAAAUUCGUAGAUAUUGGGAAGAACACCGGUGGCGAAGGCGGCGACCUGGUCCAUAACUGACGCUGAGGCGCGAAAGCGUGGGGAGCAAACAGGAUUAGAUACCCCGGUAGUCCCUGUCUCUUAUAC